rnacentral:lncRNA from 1 species
UGGCUUUGGGUCGGGUUUGACAUUUUAAUUCCCAGAAUCCAGCUUGUUUACCACUAGACAGCAGGCUUCAUUUUAAACAAGGGGCUUUGCAGCUUCCAGGUUCCAAAGUGGGACUGGGUGUUGUGUGCAUGCCACACCCCCCCUCCCGCCCCCGCCACAAUUAGGGGCAGGCUGAGAGGCCACAGGCUCUCCCUGCAGCACACCCGGCCAGGAGAUGCUAAAGGGUGGGCCUAGGGGGAAAGCUUGACCUGAAUGCCAAUGCUGGUCAAUGAAGGAGAUUUUGACUUUUCUGGAGGGCGCCCGGGACCCAGGCCACGGCUGGUCAUGGGCCUUGACAAGCUGCCAUUUCUUCACUCCCACAACAUGACUUCCCCGGAUCUCCAGCCCCAGCCUGCCGCGCCAGAUGCUGAAGUCAGGCCGGAGGCUCAGAUUCCAAGGGCUCCUGUUCCUCUCACCAGGAUUAGCACAGGUCCUCACACGUGGGGCCGCUUGCUUGGAUUCUGAUUUCUACAGAGACUUGAAAUUGGAUAAAAAUGGUUUCAGCAGAGGAGAUCAAAAUACUGUCACCAUCUUGGAGUUCUGCUCACUACCUGAAGCCCAGUCUGCAAAGGGGAAGGCAGUGGGAUUUGUGGCUUCCAAUGUGGCAGAGAAAGCUCCAUUUAACAGAGAGGGAAAGGGAAGAAACCCAUUUGCUCCUCUCGACACAAGCCACUGUUUAAUGAAGACGAACUAAGAUUUAAUGGUGUUAAUGUUGUUGAAUUAUGAGUUUGAUGAAGGUGGGCAAGCAGUUAGUUAAACACAGGCCUGGAGGUGAGUGGUUUACAUGCUCAGCAAAUGCAAAAUUGGUGAUUCUCCUGUCCUGCCUAUCUGGAUGACUUUGGCAAGGCCUUGGCCAUGCAUUCGUCCUAAGUGCAUGGCAAUGAUAUUUCACCAAUGCCCCAUGGAACACACACAGGGGGGCUGAAGAAGGACAAAGGCCACGUUUGAUAUAAAGUAUCAACUAAAUGUGGAGGAAUGAUAGAGGACAGCAUUCUAAAAGUUAUAAAUAAAUUCCUAAUUGUGGAGUCAAUCCCUGCACUUAUAUAGAAAUACUCAUAUGGCAGCUUAAAAAUUCUUAAGAUAUUUAUGGGUAAAAUGCUAUGAUGUCUAGGAUUUGCCUAAAAUACCUCAGAAAAAAAUUUUUUUUAAAUGUCUCUAUGUGUGUGUUGGGAAAGAAACAGAU